rnacentral:rRNA from 1 species
AUCAUGGCUCAGAACGAACGCUGGCGGCAGGCCUAACACAUGCAAGUCGAGCGAGACCUUCGGGUCUAGCGGCGGACGGGUUAGUAACGCGUGGGAACGUGCCUUUCACUACGGAAUAGUCCCGGGAAACUGGGUUUAAUACCGUAUACGCCCUUCGGGGGAAAGAAUUUCGGUGAAAGAUCGGCCCGCGUUAGAUUAGAUAGUUGGUGGGGUAAUGGCCUACCAAGUCUACGACCUAUAGCUGGUUUUAGAGGAUGAUCAGCAACACUGGGACUGAGACACGGCCCAGACUCCUACGGGAGGCAGCAGUGGGGAAUCUUAGACAAUGGGCGCAAGCCUGAUCUAGCCAUGCCGCGUGAGUGAUGAAGGCCUUAGGGUCGUAAAGCUCUUUCGCCAGGGAUGAUAAUGACAGUACCUGGUAAAGAAACCCCGGCUAACUCCGUGCCAGCAGCCGCGGUAAUACGGAGGGGGUUAG